rnacentral:sRNA from 1 species
AGGUGGGACAGCUUUUGGCAGGCUUUUCCUGAGGCCUCGGCGCCUCCAUCCUGGACAGCACCACUUCCACGUGGAGCUGGAGUGAAGCAGGCUGCUAAUUGGCCUUAAACAUUCUUUUUUUUUUUUGAUGGAGUUUCUUGUUGCCCAGGAGAAUCGCUUGAACCAGGGAGGCGGAGGUUGCAGUGAGCCGAGAUAGCGCCAGCCUAGGAACCAAGAGCGAAACUCUGUCUCGAAAAAAAAAAAAAAAAUCCCUUUAACGCCUUGGA